rnacentral:rRNA from 1 species
UACGUAGGGGGCUAGCGUUGUCCGGAAUCAUUGGGUGUAAAGCGCGCGUAGGCGGCCCGGUAAGUCCGCUGUAAAAGUCCAGGGCUCAACCCUGGAACGCCGGUGGAUACUGUCGGGCUAGAGUCCGGAAGAGGCGAGUGGAAUUCCUGGUGUAGCGGUGAAAUGCGCAGAUAUCAGGAGGAACACCGAUGGCGAAGGCAGGUCUCUGGGACGGUACUGACACUGAGACGCGAAAGCGUGGGGAGCGAACAGG